ensembl:lncRNA
CAUUCAACCCAAUGCACAGAAGAACAAGAUAAGAAGAGAAAAAAUUGAAAAAAUAAAUCAACAAAUAACCUCCUUAUUAUCCAACAUAUUCACUUAUCCAACAUUCUGCCGGCCCGUUUAUGUUGGAUCAGUGAGACUCUACUGUAUUUCCAAAUGUUCAAAACAUAGCAAAGAACAGUCAUAAUUCAUGCCAUGCAGAGAAAGAAGGGGAAGGGGGUUCUAGAUAAGCGGAAGCAGUGACUAAGACUAUGACUGGAAGGAAGGAUAAUAGAAGUUCAAGUGUAGCUAAAGUUAAAAUUGGGACUGGGAGUUCAUUGGGGCAGUUGCACUCUCUUGGUCCAUUCUUACCUUACAACUUUAUUAUGAGGAUGUGUAGAUGUGUGGGAGAGCCAUAUGUAGACCUUGACUUGUGUGGGGAAGAGAUGGUGCCUACAUUUUGACAGUGACCUCAAGAUAGUGGGGAAGAAGCCAGAUGUGGAGACUGUAGGGACAACCAAACCAUAAUUUCACAAAAUAGUGGCUGCCAUCUUGAUAGGUAGAAUCAAAAAGGACUUGAAGUAGCUGACAAGUUAAGAAGUUUCUUCUGGCACAUGUUUUCCUAAGAUGUCCUCUUUUUCUGUUUCAGCUCACCCUUUCAGCAUUUCACAAAGGACUGGGGCAGCUUCAAGCCUAUGUUGGUAUGGAUGAAGGGGUGGCUUUCCAGAUGGACAACAAAAUGUACUGGGACUCUCAUAGUACUGGUUCCCCAUGGGCCAUCCAGGGUAUAGGGAAAAAGAAACAGUCAAGCAAGUUUUGGAUCAACCAACUCCCCUCAGGAAAAGUGAUGUUGAGGAACAUGAUAGGCAUGUAUCUUGCCCCAGUAGAAACAAAAAUAGACCCCGGAGAGAACUGACAACAAUGAACACGCUUUCUUGUCAGACAUAGAAACAACUGCUUCACAGCUAUCUACUCCUUUCAGAAUACCAACAUGAUUUUGCAAGAUUUCAGAAUCACUCAAUGCAGACAAUGACCUCACAUGUUCAUUUUUUAUGUAGUGGAUUUCCAUUAAGCAAUUCCCCCAACCCCAACCAGAAAAGAUUGCCUGGCAAACCACAAGAUUAAUUCUGUUGCUUCCAAGAUUCAUCUCAAAGCUUCCUUCCUGAACAAGUGAUUUAACACUUUAUAACUUGGAAACAUGAGAAGCUGGCCUCAGUUUGUGUUUUUUCUGGAAAUAAUCUGAAAAUUAGGUAAAUUGUGAUUGUUUUCAGAAGCAUUCGACAUUUUAGAGUCUUGCAAAAUUCAGAAGAAGUGAUGAAAAAUGAUUUAAAAUGACAAAAUCGAUUUCCCCCUCAUAUUUUCAGUAGUAGAUCAUUGAAUCCAGAGAUGCAAAACCUGUGGUUGUGGAUAGCCAACUGCAGUGCUAGUCAUUUAGAGAUUUAUUGUUCAUUCCUGGAUCCAAAAAUCAUAGACAUCAACUGUCUGGAUCUUGUUAGGAUGGACCCUAUUAAUCCUUUGUAAUCCUAUUUUUAUAUAUAAUGUUAAUUUAUUUUCAUUCAUUCAAAUAUACAUACAUUGCAAGUGUUUGUUGCAUACAGUGCAAUACUUUCAUCUAUCAGUCUUUCAUAAUCAUUUCUCAGACAAUAUAUUUUCAAUAAGGGGUCACAGUCUUCUAUUUGAAUAGUACAUAUAAAAAUAUUAUAAGUUCCAAAUUUGUAUCCGUUUCCUCCCUGCUUUCAGUCUAUUAGCUUCCUUUAUGUAUAUUUUUAGAUUAAUUUUACAUUGAAAUGUUGGAUCAUUGGUUGCCAUUCAUUAACAAAGUUUUCUAAAGGUUCUCCUCUUAAGUGUAUUGUUAUUUUGUCCAUCAUCAGCAACUCUAUAAUAUAUUGUUCCAGUUCUGCUAAGGGAGUUACCUCUGAGGUUUUCCAAUAUCUAGCGUAUACUAUUCGAGUUGCCACUGUCACGUAAAACAAAAUUCUUCCAUAUUUCCUUUCCAAUUCUUCUUCGGGCAUGUUCAAAAGGUACAUUUGUGGUGUCAUUUUGAAAUUUGUAUUUAAUAUAUUUCCUAGAUGUACAUGAAUCUGUUUCCA